rnacentral:lncRNA from 1 species
UCACUUUUGAAUCAUUUCUAGGAAGGUAAAGAUCUAGAUUUUGAAGUAAGCGGUGUAUGUUCGCGUCCCGCAGGCUGAGACGUGGAUCCGAGCGAAGCUGCGAGACCUGAGGGACGCCAGUAACGUCCACAGAUGUCCUCUGACCGACUGGGAGGAAGUUUGUCAAACCCUCCAGAGAGAUUUGAAGGACUUUGAGAACACCAUCAUUCAACUCAACCAGAUGGGAGAGCAAUUAAUGUGCAAGCUUAACCCGACAUCUGACCUGGUGAAGAAACAUCUGGCUCAGAUCCUCGACCAAUGGAACGCGCUCAAACAGACGGCAGCCAAUCAAAUCAAGGCAAUGGGCGGGGCUAAGGCCCUCCAGGAGUUUAAUAAGAAGGUGGACCGUCUGGAGUCGUGGAUCAAAGCGAAGGAGCAGGAACAAUCGCUGGCCAACAUCCUUGGGGAAAACACUGACAAGAUGCAGCUUACCAGGAAGAUACUGGAUUUGAAACAGGAUGAGCAGCUAUAUCAUAAUCUUCAUGAGGAGAUCAAUCAUAUGGCCCUCAGACUGGAAAAACAGGGAAAGACUGAAGGAAAGACCAUCUCAACCCGCAGGAAACAUAUCAACAAAAUGUGGCUGAAGGCCCAGUCGCACCUGAAAGAAUAUCAGGAGAAUCUCCAGCUCGCCCUCGAAGUCUCGUCCUUCUACCAGCAGGCCGAUAACAUUGUCUGUUCCAUCGACAGCAUGGUAGUCAUUUAG